GCUGCCUGGGACCUGUGGCCGGUCCCGCGGUGCUGGAGAAGGGAGGGCAUCGGGGAGGAAAAGGAAGGAGGCGGGAGGAGCUAAGGCCGUGCUCAGAGCAGGACAUGGAGGAACGCGGGUCUCCCGAUGGGGACCCCGCUCGGAGCCUGGAGCAAGGGCCACAGGGGCAGGAAACGCCCAUCCAAGUGGUGCUCAGGGUGCGGCCCAUGAGCACGGCCGAGCUGCGUCGAGGGGAACAGAGCGCGCUGCACUGCUCGGGGACCCAGACACUGCAGGUGAGCCCCCCGGGCGGCGGCCCCGACGUGGCGUUCCGCUUCGGCGCAGUGCUGGACGGGGCGCGCACGCAGGAGGACGUGUUCCGGGCGUGCGGCGUGCGGCGUCUGGGCGAGCUGGCUCUGCGCGGCUUCUCCUGCACCGUCUUCACUUUCGGGCAGACCGGCUCGGGGAAGACCUACACGCUGACUGGACCUCCUCCCCAGGGGGAGGGGGCGCCAGUACCCCCCAGCCUGGCUGGCAUCAUGCAGAGGACCUUCGCCUGGCUGUUGGACCGCGCGCAGCACCUGGGUGCCCCCGUCACCCUGCGCGCCUCCUACCUGGAGAUCUACAAUGAGCAGGUUCGGGACUUGCUGAGCGUGGGGUCUCCCCGGCCCCUCGCGGUUCGCUGGAACAAGACCCGGGGCUUCUAUGUGGAGCAGCUGCGGGUGGUGGAAAUCGGGGGUCUGGAGGCCCUGAUGGAACUUCUGCAGAUGGGUCUCAGCCGAAGGAGGAGUUCCUCACACACCCUCAACCAGGCCUCCAGCCGCAGCCACGCACUGCUCACGCUCUACAUCAGCCGCCCCAGGCCCCAGCCCCAGCAGAUGCCUCCUUUGGACCCCGGGGAGCCCCCUGCCAGUGGGAAGCUGUGCUUUGUGGACCUGGCCGGCAGUGAGAAGGUGGCAGCCACAGGAUCCCGUGGGGAGCUGAUGCUUGAGGCCAACAACAUCAACCGCAGCCUGCUGGCCCUGGGUCACUGCAUCUCCCUACUGCUGGACCCACAGCGGAAGCACAACCACAUCCCUUUCCGGGACAGCAAACUCACCAAGUUGCUGGCAGACUCACUGGGGGGCCAUGGGGUCACCCUCAUGGUGGCCUGCGUGUCCCCCUCUGCCCGGUGCCUCCCUGAGACUCUCAGCACCCUACGUUACGCAAGCCGAGCUCAGCGGGUAACCACGAGGCCACAGGCCCCCAAGUCCCCUGUGGCAAAGCAGCCCCCACGUCUGGAGAAUGAAAUGCUGCAGCUCCAGGAGGAAAACUGUCGCCUGCGGUUCCAGCUGGACCAAAUGGACCCCAAGGCCCCAGGGCUCCACGGGGCUCGGGGGGCCUGGGCCCAGCGGAACCUCUAUGGGAUGCUGCGGGAGUUCAUGCUGGAGAACGAGAGGCUCAGGAAGGAAAUGAGUCAGCUGCAGAGCAGCCGGGACCUAGCCUGGGGUGAGCAGCAGGUCCUGGCCCAGCAGGUCCAGGAGCUGAAGGGGCGCCUCCUCUCUGCCUGCUCCAUUUGGCCCGGCCCUGCUGCUGCCCCACUGUGUCCCUACUUAACGCCAGCUGCCCCCUGCCAUGCACCGCCACCCCUCUGCUCCUGCCUGUGCUGCCACCUCUGCCUCCUGUGCCGAGCACCCCUGGCCCACGGGGCGUGCCCGCGGAGGGAGGGCCACCUGCCGCAGGUGCUGGAUCCCAAGGCCCCAGGCGACAUGCCUCUGUCUGCCCGGCCCCCACCCUGGGCACCUCCAUGCAGCCCUGGCUCUGCCAAGUGCCUGAGAGAAAGGAGCCACGGCACCGGGGUGCAGACCGAAGUGCUAGCAGAGAUGCUGACUGGGAAGGAGGUGGUCCCCUCGGCUCCCCCACUGCCUGUGGGGCCCCCAAACACCCCACCUGUGCUGAGAGAGAAUUUAGCCAACAUGACAGUUGAAGGGAAUCCACAGCACAGACUUAAAUAAAAUAUGUGCUCAUUAAGCAAAUAUCCAUGGAGAGCUGGCUGUUAGCCCGCACUGAGCAAAGUACAAGGUGACUUCCCCGGUGGUGCAUGGAAGAUAGACAAGAGACCAGCCAGACUGCGGCAGCCCUGGAAGCGGCCAUGGCUCUCAGUCCCAUGCUCCAGUUCAGCAAAACUGCCACUUCCUUUCCUGAGAGAGACACAGGACUCACAGGCACUGGGCUCCGCUGCCCUGUCUCACAAGCUGUCCGCACAUCUGUCCAUCAGCACCUCCGUCUAGCACUGCCCCUUUCUAGAGUCCCUGAGCCCAGGAGAUUCCACAGGGCUCCAGAACCGGCUGAAGCCUGCAGCUCCAUUCAGCCCUUACUAAGAAACUGCCUCCUAAGGCAGGUGCUUCUGGAACCCCGAGAGCCACAGCCCUUCUGCAGAUUGCUGGAAUGUGGGGACUGGGCCAAUGGCUCUUAAAAACUGUCAAAAGAAGCUCUCUGGUACCUUGGAGCACUGGAAUGAGAGACGCUCUCAGAAAUGUGGAAGCAUCAAGAAUGUCCCAGGAUUCCAAAUGCCUAGACCUCUCUGGAAUUGUAAAACACUGUCUAGAAAUUGGAAGAGAUUCUCUGGAAUCUUCAGCAGAGUGGGACAUGCCGGGGAGGGGACACUCCCAGACUUCAGAAGGCCAUCGCAAGUUUCUAGAAUGCUGGCAAAUCUCAAGUGACCUGAUGUCUAGAGCUCUAGUUGAGUUCUCCAGACCCUUGGGGACUCCAGCUAUUAGCCAGUACAGUAGAUGCACAGCAGAAAGCAUGCAUGAGGUGGGCAGUUUUGCAAGGAGCCAAUGCUUUGGAGGAGUGCUCCUCUGUUUACAAGGCUGUGAGCCCCUUGUGGUAUAGUUUGUGUCCUCUGAAAUGGCUUUUUCCAUUUUCAUCUCCUUAUUAAGGUUUUGAGGACUCCUCUGCCUUCAUUUCAAGCAAACAAACUUGGCAGGCAAGGGUGGGCAAGUAGGCACCAUCUUCCCAGCGGUGACUGGAAUGCGUAGACAGGUCCAUGCUAUGGUUGGAGACCAGGACUGGAGGCAGGAGACAUGGCUUCCAGGCCUGCUCCACCACAGACCUGGGUGAAUCAGACAAGCACCCUGGCAAUCCCUGAAGCCCACCCUGGCCACCCACAAGGGUGAGCUUUGACAGUUGGGCAGAGGGGUCUUCCUCAGGAACCUCCACUCAGCUCUGGUCCUGUUAUCUCUCAUCCAUCGCAAGAUGACAAGCCCCUGCCCAAAGACCAGCUCUCCUCUCACUGGGUAUGAGUGGCGCUAGACUGACCCUGAGCCGCCCUGUUCUCAAAGAGCUUCCAGCCCGGCAGGGAAAAAAGCAAAGCGAUAAUUACUGUGCAAAAGAAAUAAAAGCAGCAACAAUUAACAAAUUUAUCUGAUGCCAAGCACUUGCCAUGUGUUAGCUCAUGUAUUUCUCACAACAACCUAUGAAGUGAGUAGUGUUAAUAUUUUCAUUUUGCAAUAAAGAAACCAAAGGAA